rnacentral:rRNA from 1 species
GACGAACGCUGGCGGCGUGCUUAACACAUGCAAGUCGAGCGGUAAGGCCCUUUCGGGGUACGACGAGCGGCGAACGGGUAGAGUAACACGUGGGUGGACCUCGCCCUCCAGCUCUGGGAGUAAGACCCGGGAAACCGUAGGGUCGUAAUACCGGAUAUGACUCCAUGACGCAUGUUGUGGGGUGGAAAGCCUUGUGCGGCUGAGGAUGGGCCCGCGGCCUAUCAGCUUGUUGGUGGGGUGAUGGCCUACCAAGGCGACGACGGGUAGCCGGCCUGAGAGGGCGACCGGCCACACUGGGACUGAGACACGGCCCAGACUCCUACGGGAGGCAGCAGUGGGGAAUCUUGCGCAAUGGGCGAAAGCCUGACGCAGCGACGCCGCGUGAGGGAUGACGGCCU